rnacentral:rRNA from 1 species
AUACAGAGGGUGCGAGCGUUAAUCGGAAUUACUGGGCGUAAAGCGCGCGUAGGCGGCUUAUUAAGUCAGAUGUGAAAUCCCCGGGCUCAACCUGGGAACUGCAUCUGAUACUGGUAAGCUAGAGUUUGGGAGAGGGAAGUAGAAUUUCAGGUGUAGCGGUGAAAUGCAUAGAGAUCUGAAGGAAUACCAGUGGCGAAGGCGACUUCCUGGCCUAAAACUGACGCUGAGGUGCGAAAGCGUGGGUAGCAAACGGGAUUAGAAACCCUGGUAGUCC